AUUGAACGCUGGCGGCAGGCCUAACACAUGCAAGUCGAGCGGAGCGGCGGACGGGUGAGUAAUGCCAAGGAAUCUGCCUGGUAGUGGGGGAUAACGUCAGGAAACGGGCGCUAAUACCGAAUACUAGCAGAGGGGCCUAGGUGGGAUUAGCUAGUGGGGGGGGUAAAGGCCUACCAAGGCGACGAGCAGUAACUGGUCUGAGAGGAUGAGCAGUCACACUGGAACUGAGCCACGGUCCUGACUCCUACGGGAGGCAGCAGUGGGGAAUAUUGGACAAUGGGCGAAAGCCUGAUCCAGCCAUGCCGCGUGUGUGAAGAAGGUCUUCGGAUUGGAAAGCACUUUACGUUGUGAGGCGUUACCAACAGAAUAAGCACCGGCUAACUUCGUGCCAGCAGCCGCGGUAAUUC
rnacentral:rRNA from 1 species